CCUACGGGUGGCAGCAGUGAGGAAUAUUGGUCAAUGGACGAGAGUCUGAACCAGCCAAGUAGCGUGAAGGAUGACUGCCCUAUGGGUUGUAAACUUCUUUUAUAUGGGAAUAAAAUGUUCCACGUGUGGGCUUUUGUAUGUACCAUAUGAAUAAGGAUCGGCUAACUCCGUGCCAGCAGCCGCGGUAAUACGGAGGAUCCGAGCGUUCUCCGGAUUUAUUGGGUUUAAAGGGAGCGUAGAUGGGUUGUUAAGUCAGUUGUGAAAGUUUGCGGCUCAACCGUAAAAUUGCAAUUGAUACUGGCAGUCUUGAGUGCAGUUGAGGUAGGCGGAAUUCGUGGUGUAGCGGUGAAAUGCUUAGAUAUCACGAAGAACCCCGAUUGCGAAGGCAGCUUACUAAACUGUGACUGACAUUGAUGCUCGAAAGUGUGGGUAUCAAACAGGAUUAGAUACCCGAGUAGUC
rnacentral:rRNA from 1 species